AACGAACGCUGGCGGCAUGCCUAACACAUGCAAGUCGAACGAGACCUUCGGGUCUAGUGGCGCACGGGUGCGUAACGCGUGGGGAUCUGCCCUUGGGUUCGGAAUAACUCGCCGAAAGGCGUGCUAAUACCGGGUGAUGCCGUAAGACCAAAGAUUUAUCGCCCAGGGAUGAGCCCGCGUAAGAUUAGGUAGUUGGUGAGGUAAAGGCUCACCAAGCCGACGAUCCUUAGCUGGUCUGAGAGGAUGAUCGGCCACACUGGGACUGAGACGCGGCCCAG
rnacentral:rRNA from 1 species